UUCUCGUUUCUUUUUACCAACUUUUAAGUAUUUGACGUUUUUAGAAGAUGACUUUAUUUUUUACCUAAAAUUAGAUUUUUCUUGACUGUAAAAACAAGUGUUUCUGCCGGCUCUUCCUGCCGUUCCUGCCGCGGAAUCCUUCGGACAAUAUCGAGAUCAACGAUUUAAAACUGAAGAACUCCGGAAAAAUUUGUUUUGGUCGGUCACGGGUUUGCUCGCUGGCAUUCGGACGAUGAUCAGCCGCCCUUAACGUGGGGAACAGACGCUCCUAACAUGACGAACAGACGAUCGAUCAGGUUAACACCUCCGGAGAAAAGUAACGUCCCUCCCUGUAAGCAUACAACCACAGUUCCCACCGGGGUUAGUUACCUGACCUUUCUAACGCUUCCAAGAUGCUCGAUCAGGGUAACACUUCCGGAGAGGAGCAAAUCGAUCACACCCCCUCCCUGUCAGCAUACGACCGUAGUUCCCACCGGGGUUAGUUACCUGAUUUUCCCAAAGAUUGCUCGUAUCCCGGCCAGCACCACGGGGAGGUAGGGUAGAGGCUGGGUAAGAGGCUUAAGACCCAGCAUUUGCAAUGCCAUACAACAGGGACCAUAAUCCGGCGGAAAAUUUAGCUGGUUUCUACAUUCGUCUCAAUAAAAAUAAAAAUAAAUGAAUUUAUUGAAGAA